UGGGGAAUAUUGGACAAUGGGCGAAAGCCUGAUCCAGCCAUGCCGCGUGAGUGAUGAAGGCCCUAGGGUUGUAAAGCUCUUUUGGUGGGAACGCGGUUACGGCUAAUACCCGUGACUACUGACAGUACUCACAGAAGAAGCACCGGCUAACUAC
rnacentral:rRNA from 1 species